AUUAAAGUAGUUUAAAUAUAGAACUAGGCAGUGAAAUUGCCUCAGUGAUGCAUAAUCCAUAAUCA
rnacentral:tRNA from 1 species